GUGUGUGUGUUUAUGAUUCUUCUAUCGUCCUUUCUUUUUCUUUUCUUUUUCUUUCAGUACGUAUGGCGUCCUUUUUGUUGUCGUGUUCCAAAAUGCGUGUAUUCAGAAUCUGCAAAAACAAUACAGUUUGGUGUUUCCUGGACGAAAAAGAAGAAA
rnacentral:ribozyme from 1 species